rnacentral:misc_RNA from 1 species
AACGCACCUUGCGCUCCCUGGUAUUCCGGGGAGCACGCCUGUUCGAGUGUUAUGAAACCCUCAGACAUCAAUUGGCUUACCCUGAUUGUUUGUUUGGAUAUUGAGCAUUGCGGUGUUCCCCUUACAGGGAUAUCAGCUGGCUUUAAAUGUAUUAGUGGUCUAGGCUAAAUUGGUUCUACUUGGCGUGAUAAUUAUCUUACGUCGAGGACACAUUUCUGCUUGCGGAAGUGUGGCCAAUGGUGAACAACGACUGCUCUCAGAACCGUCUUUGCUAAGUUAAUUUGCAGACAACCUAUUAUUCAUAUCUGACCUCGAAUCAGGUGGGACUACCCGCUGAACUUAA